CCAAAAAAUGUAGAUAUUUUUAUUGCCUGGCUUUUCCUGCCACUUUUCCCUUUGAGGCCACAACAAGCUCACUCUAUAUCCUCAGCUUCUGUUAAUUUUUUCUCACUCUCCCCUUUUCCCUCUGCAAUGGUCCUGGGUCUCUGAAUUUUAUCAGAGAUUAGAUAUGCCACUCAGAUCUCCAAUCACACUGAGGAUGAUGUCCUACAGAAGAGUAAAUAGUAUUUCUGUUGUAUAUAAAGGAGACCUUUGCUGUUGAAACAGGGAGGAAGAAAUCAGUCUCACAUGGUCUGUGCCUCUGACAUGUCUGAAGUUGGUUUUGAUCUUAUUUAUGCCAUGUUAUAAUGCCAGAUUUUCAACUCUUUGUUUCUUAUGGAAAACCACAAAGUAAAACAAUUAAUUCUGUAAAUUUGUUUUCAUUAAAAUUGUUUUAAGUAAUAUAGUCCAUUGUCCCUUUCUAGGGACUUCUCAACUGUUCUCUGCAAACUGGGCUUGAAGAAAACAAACCAGGAUGAGAACUGUAAAUCCUCAUCAGCAAAGUCAUGCAGAAAGCUGGCAAACAGCUGCCAAGUGGCUGAUUCUGUUCUGUGUGGGAGAGCUGCUGUUUGUGUUUGUCCUGAUCAAGGAACACUUUGCAGGCUUUGCCUGAGGACUCUUCCCUGUGCCUCGGAGGGCAGUGCUGGCCGUGGAAGGCAAUGCUGCGCUGAGCGUUCUAACCUCCCUCAAUCCUGUUUUCUUUCUGCAUGCAGGUGGACACACAGGCACUGGUACCAGAAACGGGGGGAGGAGACACAAUUGCAGUAAACAUGAGCAAAAUCAGCAAUGAUAAACCUGAAUUGUUCAGUUGUUCAAGAGGGCUUUUGGCAACCCUUAGCGCCAUCCUUGCUCUUUCGUGCAGGUUUCAUAAUAGCAGUGAGCUGUGCUCUGUGUGAGUGACCUCAUGCUACUACAGUGUAGAAACAGGUUUUUUCUUUUCAUUUUCAAAGCAGGAAAGAUUCAGAACAGUAUUAUUGAGUACAGUUUUGUAACAAAUGUUUUACCAAGAAAAGUAUAUUAAUAGUAUCCUGAAGCCAACUACUUUGAAAAUCAGCUGUGAAUCUGAGGGAGUUUGUUUUUCUUCUUAAGCGGACCCUAUAAAUAUUUUGUGGACUUUAAACAUCCAAAGAGAUAUUUUAAAGGAUGGAUUUGUUAUGUGACCUUAGGUACAUGACUCAACUUCCCUCUGCCUCGGUUUCACCUGCUGUAAAACGAGCUGUUAGCACAUUGGAGGAGGUAGUUGUGUUAGGAAGUUGAAUUGCUAUUUGUAGAGUAUUCCGAGAUUUUGGAUGAAAGGUGCUAUAGAAGUGCCUUUUCCAUUACUUCUGUAUCUUGAUUGCUAAAAAUAUGAUUUAAAGAUAUCACUGUUGUGUUUGAAAAAGGAGUAAAAAUUAUAAUAGAAGGGCUUUAAUUCUGAGUGUUAUUGUGUUCCUUCUUCUUGGUAGCUAAUUAUAAAAAUGUUCUCAGUUUCAAUAUUUCUGUUAGGCUUUUACUUCUUUAAGGUCUUACACCCAUUUAGUUACUGUUUUACUGUUCAUCUGGAAAAAAAAUGUUGAAAUAUGUAAUUUUUUCCAACCUUAAGUGUGAGUUUGCCAUGACAUGGAAGUUUCACAAUCCAUAGUUAUGUAACAAAAGCAUGGAAACCAGUGAGUCUCUUAGCAAGUAAAUACCGUGGAUGAAAAUGUGUUUUUGUGAAUAUCAGUGGCAAAAAUCCUUGUGGCAGCCAAUGGGCCAGAAUUUCUCAGUGAGCUCAUUUGAAUAUAAGUCAUAUUUGAGAGGUGGCCCUGAAAUCGUAAUGUUCUGUUCUCCACCUUAGGUAGUCAUCAAGGUCACUCUGUAAGCACUUGUGGCAUGGAGUCAUGUGGCCAUGCCUUAUCAUUGUGAAUUUUUUUUUUUUUUUGGUAAAAUGUUACACAAGGUUUUAACUCUUUUCCUUACUGACAAUGCUCUUAUCUCUGUGGGUCCAUAACAUGGCUCUGAAUACUCACACCACUUACAGCUGUGGGAGAAGGCAGAAUCCUGAAAGACAAUGCUGUCCUACAGUUUUUGUGAAAAUAGGCACCUAGGAGUGGGAAGAAGCCUCUGAAGUGAAAGAAGAGAGUCCACAAAGGAGUGAGCCUUUAUAAAAGCUCUAAAGACAUUAAAAAACAAACAAAAUCAAAACCCUAAAUCAAAACUUCUGUGUGAACAUACAGUCACAGUCAAAGAUAUCAAAUUAUGUAGGAACACUGUUUUUCACUAGAUGUUUGCAGCAUUGUUUGUUAUCUGAAAGUAUUUUAAGAACUAGUUUGUGAAAUGCAGAGCUUUAUUCUAGCCAAAAAGACUGUAUUUCAAAUGAAGAGCGAGAGAUGAAGAAAGCAAGCCAGUGCAAAGUGCUGAGGACAGGACAGCAAUGGAAUUGCUACCAUGGCACACCCUACCACAGCGGCAAUGAAGUCAGUGCCUGUCUGUGGGAGGCUCCUCUGUGAGGCUGUCCCUGUGCUAUGUGCAGCAGAUUGUGACAAGGCUUUGCUUCCACAGCCGUGGGUUUGCUGAGACUGUGGUGUCAUUACCUGAAGCUGUGGGAGACUUCUCUUUCUCUAAGUAAUGGAAGUGAAAACUCAAGGAAAGAGAGAAGGGUAACGAAUCCUGACUCAGAGACAACAUGAGAAUUUUGCCCAGGGAAAUACUGGGCUGCUGCCUCUGGUGGUGCUGUUGAUCCUCUCUGAGUGUGUGAUUGCUUAUUCAUUUGCCUUUCCAAGCUAGCAUCUAAGACAAUAUGUUCAAAGGCUUCCAGGACAUAAACCAGCUCUGUGUGAGAGUUCUUGCAGAAUUUCAUCUGAAAAUCAAAGUAUCAUUUGUACACUAGCACAAGUUUAUUCUUGGGUGAGGGGAAAAAAACUCACACAGGCAGAGAUUGUAUUAGCUGCCCCUAGGGGCUCACCAACUAUCAUGGACCAUAGAAGAAUUUGCUCUGCAUGAGCAAAUGGAGUGGAUUGGAAAACAGACUGCAUGGGGAAAUUUCAUCUACACAGGAUUCUGUUGGUAGAAUGGGGAAUGGGCAGGAUGAUGUGAGAGAUCUGUCUGUGUCCAAGAGGAGGGAGUGUGGUUGUUUCAUGGCUGCUCACUGUUCUUAUCUCAUAGGCACUAGGGUGGCUCUAUACAAGUUGGGGCAAUUUUAAACCAUACUAAAUUUCAAGAAUGGACAAAUGCCAUUUAAAAUAAUUUUUGCAGCCCUCCUUCUCAUUCUUGUAUUGAGUUUGAAAACUCAGAAUUCAGCCUGUGGCCGGCAUUGAUUUCUGUCCUAAAUAUUUGGUUUUAUUCUAAUACCAUUUUGCCUUUAUUCAAGAGAUUCUGAAAAUUAAGACUAUUUUAUGUCUUUGGAUUCUUUCCCGUGGUUUUUAUUUCCUACUACUGACAGAGGUAAAGACAAACACAUAAUGCAUAGAACCCCACAUAAGUUUUGUAGAACCUACUUUUUGUGGCUCAGUGUUAUUCCUCUCCUGGCCCUUUACCACUUCAUCUAUUUACUGAUUUCUUACAGUGAUCUGGAGAGAGACCAAGCACGAAAAGAAAAACCAUAUCAACCUUUUCUUCUCAGACAUUGUUUGAAAAGAGCUUGUCCACCUCCAGACACAAGACUACAUUUUGUUUUCCCAGUGAAAUAAAAUUAUUUCAAGAUAUGAGACAUGAAAAAAGAUAAA